rnacentral:rRNA from 1 species
UACGUAGGGUCCGAGCGUUGUCCGGAAUUACUGGGCGUAAAGAGUUCGUAGGCGGCGCAGAAAGUAGGGUGUGAAAGCCCUCGGCCUAACCGAGGAAUUGCGCUCUAAACUACUGUGCUUGAGGAAUCUAGAGGUGAGCGGAACUGAUGGUGGAGCGGUGAAAUGCGUUGAUAUCAUCAGGAACACCGGAGGCGAAGGCGGCUCACUGGGGAUUUUCUGACGCUGAGGAACGAAAGCCAGGGGAGCAAACGGG